rnacentral:rRNA from 1 species
GACGAACGCUGGCGGCGUGCUUAACACAUGCAAGUCGAACGGAAAGGCCCUGCUUUUGUGGGGUGCUCGAGUGGCGAACGGGUGAGUAACACGUGAGUAACCUGCCCUUGACUUUGGGAUAACUUCAGGAAACUGGGGCUAAUACCGGAUAGGAGCUCCUGCUGCAUGGUGGGGGUUGGAAAGUUUCGGCGGUUGGGGAUGGACUCGCGGCUUAUCAGCUUGUUGGUGGGGUAGUGGCUUACCAAGGCUUUGACGGGUAGCCGGCCUGAGAGGGUGACCGGCCACAUUGGGACUGCGAUAGGGCCCAGACUCCUACGGGAGGCAGCAGUGGGGAAUAUUGCACAAUGGGCGGAAGCCUGAUGCAGCGACGCCGCGUGCGGGAUGACGGCCUUCGGGGUGUAAACCGCUUUCGCCUGUGACGAAGCGUGAGUGACGGUAAUGGGUAAAGAAGCACCGGCUAACUACGUG